GUGCCAGCCGCUGCGGUAAUACGUAGGGCGCAAGCGUUGUCCGGAAUUAUUGGGCGUAAAGAGCUCGUAGGUGGUUUUGUCGCGUCUGGUGUGAAAACUCACGGCUCAACCGUGAGCUUGCAUCGGGUACGGGCAGACUAGAGUGCGGUAGGGGAGACUGGAAUUCCUGGUGUAGCGGUGGAAUGCGCAGAUAUCAGGAGGAACACCGAUGGCGAAGGCAGGUCUCUGGGCCGCAACUGACGCUGAGGAGCGAAAGCAGUGGGAGCGAAC
rnacentral:rRNA from 1 species